rnacentral:rRNA from 1 species
UACGAAGGGGGCUAGCGUUGUUCGGAUUUACUGGGCGUAAAGCGCACGUAGGCGGAUCGUUAAGUCGGGGGUGAAAUCCUGGAGCUCAACCCCAGAACUGCCUUCGAUACUGGCGAUCUUGAGUCCGGAAGAGGUGAGUGGAACUCCUAGUGUAGAGGUGGAAUUCGUAGAUAUUAGGAAGAACAUCAGUGGCGAAGGCGGCUCACUGGUCCGGUACUGACGCUGAGGUGCGAAAGCGUGGGGAGCAAGCAGG